rnacentral:rRNA from 1 species
AGUGAACGCUGGCGGUAGGCCUAACACAUGCGAGUCGAACGGCAGCACAGUAAGAGCUUGCUCUUACGGGUGGCGAGUGGCGGACGGGUGAGGAAUACAUCGGAAUCUACUUUUUCGUGGGGGAUAACGUAGGGAAACUUACGCUAAUACCGCAUACGACCUACGGGUGAAAGCAGGGGAUCUUCGGACCUUGCGCGAUUGAAUGAGCCGAUGUCGCAUUAGCUAGUUGGCGAGGUAAAGGCCCACCAAGGCGACGAUCCGUAGCUGGUCUGAGAGGAUGAUCAGCCACACUGGAACUGAGACACGGUCCAGACUCCUACGGGAGGCAGCAGUGGGGAAUAUUGGGCAAUGGGCGCAAGCCUGAUCCAGCCAUACCGCGUGGGUGAAGAAGGCCUUCGGGUUGUAAAGCCCUUUUGUUGGGAAAGAAAAGCAGCAGAUGAAUACCCCGCUGUUCUGACGGUACCCAAAGAAUAAGCACCGGCUAACUUCGUG